GAUGAACGCUGGCGGCGUGCCUAAUACAUGCAAGUCGAGCGAACAGACGAGAAGCUUGCUUCUCUGAUGUUAGCGGCGGACGGGUGAGUAACACGUGGAUAACCUACCUAUAAGACUGGGAUAACUUCGGGAAACCGGAGCUAAUACCGGAUGAUAUUUUGAACCGCAUGGUUCAAUAGUGAAAGACGGUUUUGCUGUCACUUAUAGAUGGAUCCGCGCGUCAUUAGCUAGUUGGUAAGGUAACGGCUUACCAAGGCAACGAUGCGUAGCCGACCUGAGAGGGUGAUCGGCCACACUGGAACUGAGACACGGUCCAGACUCCUACGGGAGGCAGCAGUAGGGAAGCUUCCGCAAUGGGCGAAAGCCUGACGGAGCAACGCCGCGUGAGUGAUGAAGGUCUUCGGAUCGUAAAACUCUGUUAUUAGGGAAGAACAUAUGUGUAAGUAACUAUGCACAUCUUGACGGUACCUAAUCAGAAAGCCACGGCUAACUACGUG
rnacentral:rRNA from 1 species